rnacentral:rRNA from 1 species
GUGGGGAAUAUUGCACAAUGGGCGAAAGCCUGAUGCAGCGACGCCGCGUGAGGGACGACGGCCUUCGGGUUGUAAACCUCUUUCAGCAGGGAAGAAGCGAAAGUGACGGUACCUGCAGAAGAAGCGCCGGCUAACUACGUGCCAGCAGCCGCGGUAAUACGUAGGGCGCAAGCGUUGUCCGGAAUUAUUGGGCGUAAAGAGCUCGUAGGCGGUCUGUCGCGUCUGGUGUGAAAACUCGAGGCUCAACCUCGAGCUUGCAUCGGGUACGGGCAGACUAGAGUGCGGUAGGGGAGACUGGAAUUCCUGGUGUAGCGGUGGAAUGCGCAGAUAUCAGGAGGAACACCGAUGGCGAAGGCAGGUCUCUGGGCCGCAACUGACGCUGAGGAGCGAAAGCAUGGGGAGCGAACAGG